CAGCAUAGAUAACAAGUAAGCUAAUGUAUGUGACUGUGCUUCAAUAAAUCUUUAUUUACAAAAAACAAAUGUCAGGCCUGAUUUGGCCAGUAGGUUGUAGUUUGCCAACUCUUCUAAGCCUUUGUUUAGCUAAACUUUUCUUGAUGACAACAAUCAGGUUGUUGGGCUGUUUCAGUUUUCUUCAAGUUUUUUUAGCCAAUACCUAAACCCACCAGAACAGGAGGGUGAGCUGUACCAGUUCGAGGAAUUUCCAACUAUGUGGUAUUGACCACAUGCAACAUUUAGUUUAUUUACUCUAACAGUUGAAGUCAGUGAAUGAAAUAAUUUGCAUCAUUUAAGAAUCCCCAGAAUAAGAGCUCAUUAAAUUAUAUACAGCACCCAAAAACAUCUACUCUGAUAUCAUGAAGUCUUUUAAAUACUUCCAAAUUUCUUUUCUGACAUUUUUUGAAGGUUGAGCUGGCAAAAAUUCAUGCUGUUACAUCCCUGAUUACUGUUUCUUUCAUUUGCAUGGAGAUUGUCUAAUUAUAACAACAUGGGUAAGGGGGCUCUGUUACAAGACUUGUAACCUGGAGAGUUCAUGUCCAUUUUAAUAUUUGUGGAGAAAUUCAUGCCACCAAAUUCAGCUAUUAUCUUAUCUGCAAAUGAAGGCACUGCUUUCUAUUUGUGUGGUGCCUCUGGAAUUGAUGGAUUUGGGGGAGAUGGUACAGAACAUUAUAACGGUGGUUAAGAAGUGAACUGCUGGUGGAACUUCGUGGGUUUGAGUCCUGAUUCUCCCAGUUGGAAUACUAACAUGGAGAUUAAAUGAGUUACGGCAUGGAAAAGACAACAGUCCUGGC